rnacentral:rRNA from 1 species
GUGGCGAACGGGUGAGUAACACGUGGGUAACCUGCCCAUCAGAAGGGGAUAACACUUGGAAACAGGUGCUAAUACCGUAUAACACUAUUUUCCGCAUGGAAGAAAGUUGAAAGGCGCUUUUGCGUCACUGAUGGAUGGACCCGCGGUGCAUUAGCUAGUUGGUGAGGUAACGGCUCACCAAGGCAACGAUGCAUAGCCGACCUGAGAGGGUGAUCGGCCACACUGGGACUGAGACACGGCCCAGACUCCUACGGGAGGCAGCAGUAGGGAAUCUUCGGCAAUGGACGAAAGUCUGACCGAGCAACGCCGCGUGAGUGAAGAAGGUUUUCGGAUCGUAAAACUCUGUUGUUAGAGAAGAACAAGGAUGAGAGUAAAAUGUUCAUCCCUUGACGGUAUCUAACCAGAAAGCCACGGCUAACUACGUGCCAGCAGCCGCGGUAAUACGUAGGUGGCAAGCGUUGUCCGGAUUUAUUGGGCGUAAAGCGAGCGCAGGCGGUUUCUUAAGUCUGAUGUGAAAGCCCCCGGCUCAACCGGGGAGGGUCAUUGGAAA